UGCCUGACCUUGGGCAAGGUCUUUAAUUCAGUGUUGGCUUCCUCACCUAAUAAACAGGAUGAGAGCAUUACUGGCCUCACGAAGUCAUGCUGAGGAUUAAGUGAGACCACAUAGAUCUUGAUUUAGGGCCUGGGCCGACUCUUGGACGCUCACCAAGUGUUGGCUUUGCUUUCUCUCUGGAGGGAACGUGCUGUAAACUGCAAGGAGAGAGUUAGCAGUUUUGGUUGUUGCGCCCCAGUGCUGUUUGUUUUUAACAGAAAGGUUGAUGCAUUGUGCAAAGCUGGACAGACCUGAGUGUGUGUGUGAGUGUGUGAGUGAGUGUGUGUGUGUGUGUGUGUGUGUGUGUGUGUGAAGGGCGCUGUUUGCUGCGGCACCUAUUCUCUGUGUUGCACAAAGGACAAGUUCGCGCUGCCCAGGACCCUCCUGGACUCCCGACACUCCACUUUUGCCACAUCCUGUUGUCUUCUCUCUUUGAUCCUUCUCUUGUUGGCUGCCUGUGCUCUGCCCAAACCUUGACCCUCAGGAGCCACCAUCACUAUAGAAUGAUCUAGUCCUCUAGUCUGUAGCCCUAGGCGUUAGCAAGUAUCAUUGGUGUCCCUGGGCACCUGGCUUUUUCCAGUUUUGUCCCAAGGUCUGCUGACUCAAGCUCAGGGUGGGACAAAGACCUGGCCCUCUCUGGCCUCUUGGAUCUGGAGCGGGGCGGGGGAGGGUGGCAGGCAGGAGGGACAGGGCAGUGACACUCCAGUUAUUGUUUCUUUGAAGUAUCCCCAGUCACACACACCUGCCCACACUAGAGUGAACUUCCCUCUGAAGACGCACUCUGGUCUACAUGAGAAAGUUCCAUUCCUCCUACUUGUGAGCCUUUGACCCACUCCUCGGAGCACUAAUGGCUUCCCUGCAGGAGCACCUGCCUUUCCCUGUCUGAGGUUAUGUGCCUGGACCAGACCUCGGGAAGGGAGGGACAGGGUCGAGUGGGCAGGGCCAUUAUUGGCUUAAAUCCCGGAGCUUGGGAAGGAUUAACUCCUGAAAUCAGAGGCCUUAAGGACUUCCCUGUAUUGCACUCACAAUCAAGAUGCUCCCCGAGUGGGAGGGAACAGGCUGUACCAGUUACUAAGCUCUUUAGUGUGUCCCAACUUCAAGCUCUCCUUCUAAAGUUGGCUUUGUGCUUCGGGAGUGGGGCCACAGCUGGUCCAAGGAGAACAUGGGGGCGCUGGCUCUGACCUGGGGGAGGGGUGUCACACAGGGGGAUGCCAUCCCCUUCCUUUGAGUCCAAUGUAGUGGUGGAAACAGAGCUCAGAAGCCCCAGCCUGGUCAUGAUUCUUGAAUACUCUCAAGUUCUGUGGUGUGGCCAUUAUCUCCUGGUCUGUGUCUCUGCCCUUUCCUCUAUCUGUACUCAAACCCUGAGGCGUGUUAGUCUGAGUAUGCCCAACUGUGAUUUUUAAAUUUUUAAAAAAUUUAGAGGGCAAAACCAGAUCUGUAGUACAAAAUAUACUUUUGUAAAAAAAAAAACUUUCGUUUUGAAAUAAUUAUAGAUUCACAGGCCCGUUGCAAAUAUAGGACAGAGAGGUCCAGUGUCCACUUUAGUCAGCUUCCCCCAAUAGUUACAUUUAUAUGUGUCUUUCAAUAGCCAAACUAGGAAAUUGACAUAGGCACUGUGUGUGUGUGUGUGUGUGUGUGUGUGUGUGUACAGGAAAUUGACAUAGGCACUGUGUGUGUGUGUGUGUGUUUGUGUGUGUGUGUACAGGAAAUUGACAGAAGCACUGUGUGUGUGUGUGUGUGUGUGUACAGGAAAUUGACAUAGGUACUGUGUGUGUGUGUGUGUGUGUGUGUGUGUGUAGGAAAUUGACAUAGGUACUGUGUGUGUGUGUGUGUGUGUGUGUACAGGAAAUUGACAUAGGCACUGUGUGUGUGUGUGUGUGUGUGUGUGUGUGUGUGUACAGGAAAUUGACAUAGGCACUGUGUGUGUGUGUGUGUGUGUGUGUGUACAGGAAAUUGACAUAGGCACUGUGUGUGUGUGUGUGUGUGUGUGUGUGUA